AGUUAGUAACUUUGAAAACCAU
rnacentral:snRNA from 1 species